rnacentral:rRNA from 1 species
GACGAACGCUGGCGGCGUGCCUAAUACAUGCAAGUAGGACGCAGUUGCGAACGGGUGAGUAACGCGUAGGUAACUGCCUAUUAGAGGGGGAUAACUAUUGGAAACGAUAGCUAAUACCGCAUACUAGUAGAUGGACAUGCGUUGUAUUAGCUAGUAGGUAGGGUAAUGGCCUACCUAGGCGACGAUACCGAGCCGACCUGGGAGGGGGAUCGGCCACACGUGGUCUUAGACACGGCCCAGAAUCCUACGGGAGGCAGCAGUAGGGAUGCUUCGGCAAUUGGGGGAACCCUGACCGGGCAACUCCGCGUGAGUGAAGAAGGUUUUCGGAUCGUAAAGCUCUGUUGUUAAGGAAGCGGUACUUAACCAGAAAGGGACGGCUAACUACGUGCCAGCAGCCGCGGUAAUAC